AGGAAAUGUGUCAUGCAUCUCAACAAACAACCGCAGGGGAACACCAAUAGGGAGGUUCAUAGUUUGAGGAGGGAGGCCCCAUCAUUGCAGUUCAAGUGGAGAAUGAGUACGGCUCAUAUGCAAAGGAUGAACGAUACAUGCCUUUUAUGAAGGAGCUCUAUCAUCCAGAGGGAUCAAUGAACUCCUACUGAUAUCAGACACCGGGGAGGGGCUACGUUUCUUUUCUUGACCCUUCCUCUCUUAAGUUCACAAGAUGGUAAACCUUCAAAGACUGGCCAACGGAACCAUAUAAUAUUUAGCGUACAUGCAGCCCCAGAAACCUCUGCAUGUAAUGGAGUGCUGGUUUGGGUGGUCCGAUGUCUGGAGUGAAUCUCACCAUGCGUUACCAGCAGAGGAAUUGAACCCACAAUCCUGGCAUUGCAAGUGCCAUGCUCUACCAACUGAGCCACAGUGGACCAUCCAUCCAUCACGCUAAGUACUGUAUGUGGUGACCGUCUAGCAUUGAUUCUCCUCUGGUAGAUAUUUGAAUAUGCGGGAGAUGUCUCCUCUGGUAGACAUGUUGGCUGUGGUGUCACAGAUACUGGAGCCAGGUGUAUCCAUCAACCUCUAUAUGUUCCAUGGUGGAACCAGCUUUGGCUUCAUGAAUGGAGCUGUGGGGAACCUUGGCACCUACAAACCUCAAGUUGGAAGCUAUUCAACCAGUUUCAUGUACUGACAUUUCCCAAAUUUAAAUUUCCUUGCCAAGAAAAAUGUUGUCAUCUUUUUUAUUUUAUUAUGAUGCUCCGUUAUCCGAGGCUGGAGAUUACACCACCAAGUAUCAGCUCUUAAGGAAUUUAUUCAGCCAGUUUCACAGUAAGCUUUCUCUUUCAAACAUUCUCAUACAAUACUAUUUGCGUUUUGGAAAAUAACAGGCACCAUAAUUUAAUUUGUGAAAUUGUCUAGCUUGGAGUGUAUCUGUGUGUCUCAGAUGAGAAGCUUCCUGAGGCUCCCUCUCUCCAGGCCAGGAGAGUGUAUGAGCCUGUCAUCAUUCAGAAGCAUCUGUCACUGUGGGAGAGCCUGCAUUUUACUGACAAGGUAAACUAGGGGUCAAGUAGCAUACUGUCAGUUGUGACCUGGCCUGCUUGGCAAGUUGGCAAUACUCAAGGGUUGAUGUUGAUAUUUAAUUGAAUGCACCACAUUGACAUUUUUCCAUCAUCAAGCCCUUGAAGUCAGAGGGGCCUGUCAACAUGGAGAACAAUAACAAUGGUCAGUCCUAUGGCUACACUCAAUAUGAGACCACCAUCAACAGCAGAGGCCUUCUGAACUCCAAGACAAAUUUUAGAGACUGAGCCCUGGUGAUUACAGACAGAAACAGUGACAUGGCAUGAAUUUACUACAGUAAAAGGUCCACACUGUAUGACAAUACAUCAUUUGUACUAAUAAAGUUGUCUUCUAAAACUGUUUGCAUGUUCUUCACAAAGAGGGCAACAGAUGCUACUGAGCCAGAUGUCUAUGUGUCAGGGGAGAAGCUCCA